UACUUAACUGCGGCUCAGCCCGCCGUUUGGAGCUUGAACAUUUGCAUCUUCAAUUGUAAGCAGCAUUUUAGUAGUCGUGCAAGGAUAUUCCAACUCAAUUCCUUCAAUGACCGGUUUCUCUUGGGUUUGGACGGCACGUACCAAGGCUUGAAGGGACUCCUUGAAUCUCUUGGCUCGUGCUCGUGUCACUGGGCCUUGGGGCACCUUCACAGGGUCUACUUGUACACUUUGGGCCUCGUGCUCAACCGCAUCAGUUUCGCAUGCACUAGAUAGGGAUCUUCAUGAUGACUCUCAUUCAGCUUAGAAAAAUCUUGAAUCUGAUUGUGCAAGGUAGUAUAAUUCGACCCUAGUUGUUGCUGAUUUGGCACUACUUGCCCAUCUGGAGAUAGAGCAAUGAGCCAUUCAUGUUGCACUUCCGUGGAAGAAUGAACCAGUGAGGUAAAAACAACAUUCGGGUCUUGAUUGACACACUUGUCUGCAUCACCCAACAUAAGUGGCAGCAAUGAAGUGAAGGUCACACUCCAGACGAGUCACUUGAAUUUGCGCCAGUUUGAGUUGAUAAGAUGAUCUCAUGGUGACCAGCUUUUGGAUGUAUGAAUAUGCAUGGAAGAUUACAAGCAGCUGGCACAAGCAUGAAAUCAGGUUGCAACUCUUUAAUCAAAGCUGGAAAAUUUCGAGCAGCCUUACAACCUACAAAAACAAAAUGAGUCUCAGCUUGUUUUGAACCAGAAAUUGGAUACAUAAGCAAUGGAACGUCAUUAAUUAAGUGGUAAGAAGGUGUAGAAUAAGAGUUAAAUGCAAAAACUCCCUGUGACACGUGAUUCCUUCCAUCAAUCGAUUCAACUUGAGACUGCAUUGAUGGCUCUUUACAUUUUCCUUCAAAAUCUGCAUAGGAAAUACAUGUGUGAGGAUGGAAAUAUUGCUCAAAAGAAGGUAAAGAUGAUGAAUGAACCAUGGGUAACAAACAAGAAUAGAAAUAUGGAGUUCGAAUUAAUUCUCCAUUGGUGCGGACAGAUUCGGGUUGUUCCAUGAAGUGAUACCAAAUAGAUCUAUCUCCUAGAAGACAAACUCCAUGGAAGCUAGUGAAUUGUACAAGCAACUUUGGAAUGGAACAUUGCAUGACUAACUUCACUCGACUUCGCUCAAUCCGUACAAAAGCAGAAACACUAAACAAGGCAAAGUUAAGUUCGUUAGGAAAACUAUAAACACUCGCCUUCCCAUGCACAAUCAGCUCACUUGAUGCUUCACUCAUCUCCUCAGAUUUUUUUACCUCUUUUUCAAUCUCACAUUCCUCAACUUUUACCUCAAGUGCACUCUCACCACCAUACUCAACUCGCUCUUUUUCAAGUUUUUGUUGGAGGAGAGUUGUUGACAUGUCUCCUGCACUCAACUAACUCCUUCAUCUAUGGAUAAAGUAUUUGCAUGCUUUGUUGUCGAAUGAACCUCCUCCCUUCUCCUUGAAUAUAAUGACUUUGAAGAGGUAGGUUGGACGUCAGGAUGAAAUUGUGGGGAACCCCUCCUCUUGACAUCCUUAUUCACCAUUCGGUCAAGGCGUCUAUGAAGAGGCUCGAAAGCUUCAUCCAAACUCUGCUUGAAUUCUUCCAUCAUGGCCACCAUGUGUAGUUUAAAGUCCAUUGUUUGGUCACCAACUCCACUAGACAUGCUUAGGUAAACCUGCAAAAGAAAAUAAGCAAACGACCUCUUCUCUCCUUCUUUUUUUUUUGGUACAAUGUAUAGGUCACUCACGCUUGUGUUUCACUCAAGUGUAUCACUCUCUAAUAGUCUCACCAAGCAAUUCCUUGGCUUGCUAGUUGCUCGGGUUGAACAAAUUAGGCGUCACCGCAAGGUACGUUCUUGACUAGUCAACAAGUGACACAAGAUAGCAGCAAGGAAUGGAGGUGAAUGAAGGCCUAGACGCGAUCUAAAACUCAGAUUAGGACUAAUGACUGAAAAAGAAGGCAAGACAAAAUGCCUUCAAGGCUGAAUUUUUGAAAAUCCUAGAAGUACUCUACCCGACAGCCCAAAAUUCUGGAAUUUGCGGAGCGUGCUGGUCCUCGGCCUUUUGGUCGGGGGUUUGGUGGUAUUUUGGUGUUGCUUUGGUGUUAGUCAAUCAGGUCUUCGACCUCCGCUGAGCUGUCGAGGGUCUCGCUGCCCGGUCGCGGAAGCAACUUAGGAUCUUAGAGGACACGUUACGGAAUCGACGGAGUUGAACCCAAACUCGGACCACUCAAGAACGAAUUCAACGGCAGAGGAUGCCACAAUCAAGUGUGUUUGCUUGAUUGAUAAGUCAAUAAACAACCUAGGAACCACACUAGGAUGUUCAACUUAGCUUUCACAAGCUAGAGGAAUUUGGCUUAAUGGAAGACGAAAUUCUGGAAUUUUAUUAAUAGCAUCGUAAAAACUAAAUGUACCAUCAGCUUUAGGGCUAUUUAUUGCCUUGACUAAACCUAAUUAAGCUUGGAAAGCAUGAAGGGAAAAUCGGCCAGCCCAUUGGGUCUCUCUUGGCCGAAAGCUAACCUACUAAUGAUACGUUCCUCGAUCAACACGUUUCGAGACACGUAGCACGUUUGCCCAAGGAUCUAGCGAGGACGUCCAACGCUUGGAAUUGCGGGAUCUAGAACCAAACGGACGACACGAUUUGAUUCAAGACGGUAGACGACACUCCGAUGAAGGUGAAUACUCCAGGGGAAUAGGUCGGUAGAACAAUCUAGGACAGGACGCAAGACUGCUCAAAACCCUUGCCAAAGCAAGUAAAGGGGUCGAAUCUCUCUCUCAAGAAGAAUCGAAAAUAUGCAAAACUUUAUUGAUAAAACGUCUACCUAAAACCUUACAAAGCAAGCCUAUUUAUAGGCUAAAGUGACUGAAACCCUAAAGGGACUAGGAAAGGGAAAAGUCGGCCCAUGGUCUUGGGACAAGAUGGGCCGGCCCAUGCUCUUACUUAAACACUAAUCAAUUGCUAAAUAACUACUAAGGCCUAAGGCCCUAUUCGGCCAACUCAUUUGGAGGCCCACUUGACUCUUCAUGGGCUUGGGUCAUGGUGUAGAUAAUUCGAUUAAAAUCUUUCAAGCCUUCAAUAUC
rnacentral:lncRNA from 1 species